UACACUCCUACGGGAGGCAGCAGUGGGGAAUUUUGGACAAUGGGCGAAAGCCUGAUCCAGUAAUGCCGCGUGUGUGAAGAAGGCCUUCGGGUUGUAAAGCACUUUUGUCCGGAAAGAAAUCCUUGGCUCUAAUACAGUCGGGGGAUGACGGUACCGGAAGAAUAAGCACCGGCUAACUACGUGCCAGCAGCCGCGGUAAUACGUAGGGUGCGAGCGUUAAUCGGAAUUACUGGGCGUAAAGCGUGCGCAGGCGGUUUGCUAAGACCGAUGUGAAAUCCCCGGGCUCAACCUGGGAACUGCAUUGGUGACUGGCAGGCUAGAGUAUGGCAGAGGGGGGUAGAAUUCCACGUGUAGCAGUGAAAUGCGUAGAGAUGUGGAGGAAUACCGAUGGCGAAGGCAGCCCCCUGGGCCAAUACUGACGCUCAUGCACGAAAGCGUGGGGAGCAAACAGGAUUAGAUACCCCGGUAGUCCCAUGA
rnacentral:rRNA from 1 species